AUACACGACGUCGCGGCAAGUCAAGCCGGUAUACGAGAUUGCAUUAUACACGGUAUCCCGACGCGGACGGCCGGUAAUACAAAUUGGUAUUUACCGGUAUAACCGGCACAGCAGAUGCAAGGGCUCCAAGGUGCAGUGGCUGUGUUGCAAAUGGGCGACGUCGGCGUGCAGGGCCAGUGUUACCACCAUCGAUGGUUACAUUGUGAAGUCCCUUAACAAGCAUAACCAUUGAUGUGAAAAAUAGUGUAAAUAUUUUGGGGUGAAAUUAAAUCUUCAGUAUAAUUCCGAAAUUUAUUUUCCGAAUCAAUACGUCAUCGCAACUUCCAAGAAAAAUAUAUUCUUUAUUUAAAGGCGGGGUGGUACAUUUGCAAUUCCUCCGGUGUCGCGAGUGCUUACAAGCGACAGUAGUCACUGGUCAUCAGACCCUGUAUACAAAACGUCCAGAUUUGGGAAGCCAGUGAUAGAAGUGGGAGAAUAUCGCUACUAUCAUUAUUUGAAACGACAAAGCGGCAUGAGCAUUUGGAGAUGUGCAAAAUGGACCAGUAAAUAUUGUCGCGCCACGCUAUCCACUGCGAACAAUAUAGUUUUGAAAACUACGAAUUUCCAUAAUCAUUAAGUAGUAUUUUUUUUUUAUAAAUAAAAAACCAUUCCCAAUAAUCUAUCUGUGCAUAUGUUUAUCUUCUCUAGUCUGUAAUUGCAGUUGUGAGUAACACAGUUCGGAUGCUUCAGACCACUACGUAUAAAGUUUCACUGAUGGUGUCACAUUAUUAUUUUUAAAACUUAUAUUUCAUCUAUUAAUGAUGUUUGCAUACAUACACAAUGGGAUUUUUUUUAACUUACUGUGUUUAUCGGGUUCAUGGCCGUAGUUAGGAUGGGGACAGGGGAUUGAGGGGCAAUGUCUUACCUUAAAAUGAAAUACCCCAAGAAAAGUAGACAGAUUGUUUUUCGAACUUAUUUAAUUAUGGCUUCUGUCUUACCAAAAAGUUCUUCCAAAAAGUCAAAUUUCGAAGUUUAGAAUCACAGUAAAUUAAUUCCUGUACCGAGUAAUGCCCUUUUUUACAUAAUAUUUUAUGAAGUUGAUAUCGGAAUGUCUUGUUCUUCUCUAUGCUUUUCAAACUAUCAGGUGUUUUAUUAUACAUUUUAAUACUGCGGGCUGUUUCGAAACAUUUCUAUUUGGGUUAUUGGCAAAUCUAUUUUUGUUUUGUGUCGGUCAUUUAUAACAAAUUGGAAUAAAUCUAUAUGUAUGUAUGUUACAGUAAGUAAAUAGUGAAAAUUCUAACCCUCGUGAAUAAUUUUAGAGAAAAAGGACUGUUGUAUUAUACAAUGUAAUAUAAAUGAUCACAAUACUCGUUGCGUUCUGUAUAUACCAGUUCGAUUCUCGUCGAAUGUAAUCAUAUUAUCUAAAAUAGAAUUUAAAAAAAGUACACUUUUAGUUCCUUAGUCAUAAAAACAUUAAACGUCUCAUAAACCUGUAUUUUAGCUAUUGAAAUCUUUUAUCUUUUUCUUUUGCACUAAAUUCUCAAUUUGAAAGAAUGUGACAGAAAUACUUCAUUAGCCAAAAUAGGUUUGUAGGAGGUAUUAGUUUUUAUGAAAAAGGGGAUUAUUGUAUAUAUAUCUUAGUAUUUAUAAUAUUAUUCAUAAUUGUACAUUGUAAUCUAUAACGUCCAGGGUUGUAAAGGCACUAUUCUGGUUUCAUUGCGCUCGUGGACCGCCGUUUGUUUUAUGUAGAAAAACUUUAAAGGGAGAUAACUAUAGU
rnacentral:lncRNA from 1 species